AUUGUGCUUUAUUUUCUCCCGUCAUGUAGAGACAGCCUUUCUCAGGGUUGUGAGACAGAGCACCUGGGUGCAGAGCUGUCUGGAGACUGUUGUGAGAUCUGGCAGUGGGUCAGAGCGUAGUGGAGAACCUGGUCCUUCCCCUCCCUGCUGCUCCUGCCCUGAUCUGAGAGGACUCCUCUCCAUCCCUUGGCCUGGAAAACACUUGUCACACUGCUUUGGAAUUAUCUGCCCACGGGAUGGUCUUCCCUCCUAGCCUCUGAACUACUUGAGAGCUGUGCCCACGCGCCUUACACAUCUUGGGCUCGCUAGUGCCAAGCAUGCUCUGGAGCUUCAUAAUGUCUUGCAUGCUAUGGAAAACUGCUGAUCUAAUACAGGACACUCCAUAAAGGAGUCACGUCAGCUGAGAAGUCCAGGAGGGCCGGGACGCCCUGCAGUGACCAGCCUACGUGAAGGGUCACCAGAGAAGCCCCAGUGCUUUAUCACUGCGUGUCUGCGUGUCUGGUGAAUUGUGCAUGAAUGGAUGAACGGGACCCAGAUGUUGGGAAGAAGAUGAUGCCCCAAGUGUCCAUCCUGACAAAGGCCUGGUAGUCACAGCAACUGAGUGGAGUGCUGGACACAUCACACCGUCCUUAGACUAAUGAUCUGAAAAGCAGUCCAGGUGGGCACACGAAUGACCAGUGUGGAAGGAAAAUUAUAAGGCCUUCAUGUAAUUCAGCUUUGAUUGGAGAACAUAAUGAUGAACGGAAGUGAUUGUUGCCUCCCUAGAUCAGUUGCUGUUGAUGAGGAAGCUUGAGAGAAUGGUACUCUUUUUGCACACGUCAUUUGGGAAGACAUGUCCUGGGCAAGACACUACAGAUUGCAAGGAAGGGAAGGGUUUGCAAAUAGUCACAUCUCUUUCCAUAAAGAUUAAGUUUGUAUUCUUUCUAGAUCAUCUCAUUAUAAAGUUGAUCUGCCAAAGGCUAUCAAGAUACAGAGUUGAAAAUAAAAUUGCUUGAUAUUGUAAUAGAAAGUUCCAAGGACUUUUGAGACUAAGUGACUUAUUAGGAGAUUCUGUUGUUAGAAUAUUUGUUUAUAAAACUUGUUUUUAACUUAAGAUUUUCAGUUAUUUUCGAUGUAGGACUUGAGUUUACCCACAAGCUUUAAGUCACUAUGAUGUAACUAAUUUGGUUCUCACUUAAUUCAAUGUAUGUAAAAAGCUUUGUAGUUACUGUUCAAACUAAAGUACUUGCCAAAGUAAUA